CCUACGGGUGGCAGCAGUGAGGAAUAUUGGUCAAUGGGCGAGAGCCUGAACCAGCCAAGUCGCGUGAGGGAGUACUGCCCUAUGGGUUGUAAACCUCUUUUGUCGGGGAGCAAAAGCCGGACGUGUCCGGCUGUGAGAGUACCCGAAGAAAAAGCAUCGGCUAACUCCGUACCAGCAGCCGCGGUAAUACGGAGGAUGCGAGCGUUAUCCGGAUUUAUUGGGUUUAAAGGGUGCGCAGGCGGAUUUUUAAGUCAGAGGUAAAAUCGUGGGGUUCAACCCCAUCCAGCCGUUGAAACUGGGGAUCUAGAGUGUGCGAGAGGUAUGCGGAAUGCGUGGUGUAGCGGUGAAAUGCAUAGAUAUCACGCAGAACCCCGAUUGCGAAGGCAGCAUACCGGUGCACAACUGACGCUCAGGCACGAAAGCGUGGGUAUCGAACAGGAUUAGAUACCCCAGUAGUC
rnacentral:rRNA from 1 species